AACCUGGAGUAAUUAGUACUGUUUGGCUGAGAAUAACAGAACACAAACCCCCAGAAGGAGCGCCUGGCUCAGGAGGUAUUUCCUCACGUGGAGCAGCCUUUGGCCCAGAGAGUCCAGCAGGUCGUGUGGCAGCUCCUGUCCCGAGAAGGCGAGCCAGCCCAGGCUCUCUGCAGCUCACACGCGCCUCCCCUGCGUAGACGUGAGGCAGGUGACCAGGCUCCUCCUCUGGCACCUCGUGCCCCAGGGCCGCUGCAGGCAGGCCAGGGACAGAGGGGCCCAAGUCCACUCUUUGAGAAGCUCUCUGGCUUUUUCCAGUCUACAUGUUGGAUGGAUGGAUGGAUGGAUGGAUGGACGGACGGACGGACGGACGGACGACGGUUGGAUGAGGUUGAAGACGACUCUGCGAAGCCGUCAUUGGUGGGGGUUCCUGAGAGGACGCACUCAUCUAGGGCGGGAAGAUGUUCCGAAUCAAAUGACUCACAGCCCGAGGAG
rnacentral:lncRNA from 9 species